GUAGAGUUUCUAUCCCUCAUAAUGCUUACUUUACUUCAAAACUCCCUCUGUUUCAGCUAUGUAUUGAUAUCCAUAUCCAUGUUACAUCAUAACUACUUGAACAAUAACAAUAAUUAUAACAAUAAUAAAUGAAUAAAAUAAAAUAUUUACAAAUGUUGAUCCAAUAAACAAUAAAACAAUUAGAAAGAUCUACCUGCUCAGG